GUCCACUCCCUAAACAAUGUCAACUGGUUGUUGGGAGGGGUUUCUUCUCAGUAACGAAGGCUAACGCGUGAAGUUGACCGCCUGGGGAGUACGGGCCGCAAGGUUGAAAACUCAAAAGGAAUUGACGGGGACCCGCACAAGCGGUGGAUGAUGUGGUUUAAAUUCGAUGCAAACGCGAAAAAACCUUAACCUACCCUUGACAUGUCUGAAAUCCUGCAGAGAUGUGGGAGUGCUCGAAAGAGAAUCAGAACACAGGUGCUGCAAUUGCCGUCGU
rnacentral:rRNA from 1 species